rnacentral:rRNA from 3 species
UACGUAGGGUGCGAGCGUUAAUCGGAAUUACUGGGCGUAAAGCGUGCGCAGGCGGUUGUGUAAGACAGGUGUGAAAUCCCCGGGCUUAACCUGGGAACUGCGCUUGUGACUGCACGGCUAGAGUAUGGCAGAGGGGGGUGGAAUUCCACGUGUAGCAGUGAAAUGCGUAGAGAUGUGGAGGAACACCGAUGGCGAAGGCAGCCCCCUGGGCCAAUACUGACGCUCAUGCACGAAAGCGUGGGGAGCAAAC